GGUUAAGUCCCGCAACGAGCGCAACCCUUAUCUUAAUUGCCAGCAUUCAGUUGGGCACUUUAAAGAGACUGCCGGUGUUAAACCGGAGGAAGGUGGGGAUGACGUCAAGUCCUCAUGGCCUUUAUGCUUAGGGCUACACACGUGCUACAAUGGGUGGUACAAAGAGAAGCCAACUCGCGAGAGCGCGCCAAUCUCAAAAAGCCAUCCUCAGUUCGGAUUGGAGUCUGCAACUCGACUCCAUGAAGUUGGAAUCGCUAGUAAUCGCGGAUCAGCAUGCCGCGGUGAAUACGUUCCCGGGCCUU
rnacentral:rRNA from 1 species